AAUCAUAAUUUGUGAUUGGAUUCCUACUGUAAAUAUAUCCAGUUUCCAUGGAUAACCCAAGAAUUGCAGGGCACCAAGUGGCCACAAUUUUUUUUUUUUUCAGCAUCUCACUAAAACACUGUUCUUUGUUCCCUUUAAUUUCUCAUAAUUUUCACAGAUUUCAAAAUUAAAUUCCCCUCUUAGAGGGCAAUCUCACCCCUGGACAGGGCACGGAUAGGGAGUAACAGCACCCAGACAGCUCACUCUCCCCACCCCAAUCUCCCAUCUCCUCCCCCCUCUGCUCUUACCUGGGACCCAGAGCAUCAGCAGCCCCAGUAGCUGAGAAGGGAACCUCAUUUUGAGAUGCUGAACUGAUGAGUCCUAGUAAGUAGACACAAGGUCAGAGCUGACCUUUAUGUCAGACUUCCAAGGUAAGGUCCUCCCCAGGGGACAAUAUGCAAAUCUUGUGGUGGGUGUGGCUGAGAGGAAAGAGCCAAAGGCAGGGCUCAGGUCCCUCUUCUGGGAGUGCAGUAACUUAAAAUGGCUUUUGUCUUUGCAGGGAAACUAACAGAGACAAAUUCCCUACUGCCUGUGCGGGAAGCAGGAUCUCUCUGUGAUAAUCAGGAUCUGUGGCAGGACACAGUGCUCAUAGACCUGCCUUCUGAGAAAGCUCCAGAGACCCUGACUAUACAGGCACGCAUGUCCAGAGGCCAUUUCUGGCAGGUGAAUGGCCAUCCUGCCUGUAUUCCUGUCAGCUAAUGUCCAGGAGGAAACAGAUCCCACUCCAGCUGAUUAGCCAGCAAUCUCCAGAUCCCAGGAUAAACUGGAGAGAGAUCAGGAGUCUCUGGGAUCUGCUGUUUCCAGAGUGCUAGCCAAGCAAUCCUGAAUCUUACUCUUGAACAUGCCAGCCCACCUAAUGAAUCCUGCUGGUGAAUGAUUCAGAAAGUUAAACCAGUGGAAAUGAAUAAAAUCAGGAAAAAACCAAAAAGGACAAUAUAAGAAAAUAUCAUAAAUCUUAAGAUGAGUUUAGAAACUAUUCAUUACACAUGUUAAAUUAAGAAUCACAAUAUCUAACACUGUGUGUCAAAUAUACUAAGGAAAUCAGAAUCACAUUACCCAUCACCAUAUGUGAAACCUCAAUGUGUGGAAAUUUGGCUGAAAAUUAUUCAUCCACCAUGUUUAUUUGCUGUGUAUCAGUUUUGAAACUAUUUUUUGUACAACGUUUUCCUACAAAUGCUUGAACUUCAACAAUAUUUCCUACAAAACGUAACAUGAAAACUUUAAAAGUCUCCUUUUGUGUUUGGUUGUUUAUCUCAUAAUUUCUUGCCCUGAAAUACCUAAAAAAUGCAAAAACCUUCUACAGCUUCCUCCUUGACAGAGAAGGUUUUGAAAUUUUCCCCUGCUAACUGUAGACCGAAGAAAGACUGUUCCUAAUUCCUAAGAGGAGUCUUUAUCUCCUGUGUAUGUAGGAACUUUGUUGUACCCUGGAUAAUAAAAGUGACUUCAUCAACAUUGGUCAUUGCACAACACACAGAAAUCAUUGACAUCUGUAAGGGAUGUAAGAAGAACCACCAUGAGGUCCAGGUGGGGACCAGGACUCUAGGAGCCUCUAAUCUUGACCACCAUCACCUCAACCAGCAAGGACUUACACAGUAUUCUCAUGUCUCUAGAAUUUUCCCAGCCUUGCUUCUAGGAUGGCCUCAGCUUCAUUCGCAGCCACUAGAAUGGUGUAGGGAGGGACUAUCCUGUCCAUGUCCCGGUCAGCUUGGCUGAGGUUGUCACUGUGCAGGAAACGACUACAUGUGUCUUCAGCAUAUCCAAUCCUAUGGCUGACAUGGAAGAAGGAGGAAGAACAUGUCUGUGUCUGGACUGUGCAGUUUCUGCUCUAACUGAAUCUGCUUUGGUCCUCACCUUGCUGAGCAGCUCUUCAU